rnacentral:rRNA from 1 species
UACGUAGGGUGCAAGCGUUGUCCGGAAUUAUUGGGCGUAAAGAGCGUGUAGGCGGCCCGAUUAGUCCGCUGUGAAAGUCCAGGGCUCAACCCUGGAAUGCCGGUGGAUACUGUCGGGCUAGAGUCCGGAAGGGGCGAGUGGAAUCCUGGUGUAGCGGUGAAGUGCGCAGAUAUCAGGAGGAACACCGAUGGCGAAGGCAGCUCGCUGGGACGGUACUGACGCUGAGGCGCGAAAGCGUGGGGAGCAAACAGG